GGAGAAUUCUACAUCACAGUGGGGUGGUGACGUCACCAACGGAGUGAACCCCAAUUUCUCAUCAUGCUGGAGGAUGGUUUAUGAUCUGAGUGGGGAACUGCAAGCAAACUUGCUGGUGGGCACAGCCACCCUAGAGCCAGGGAGCACAAGCCCUCACUCGUGGCUUCCGGUUGAUCUGGAAGCUCGCCUGACUGCUGACUGCUCUCCAGGAUACCCUAUGAGAGCCAAAGGUCAUCUUGGCCAGGAAACUCGUGCAAGGGUUUAAAUUAAACUGAGACUUAAAUAAAAUGGACAGGGAAAA